ensembl:lncRNA
AUUUGAUUGUGGGUCCUGAAAAUAAGUGAUUUAGCCUUGCAUAAAGUGAUUUAACCUUGGAGACCGAGGCUGGAAGAGAGCAAACAGACCCUGGGCCAGUUUCCUGUGAGAGGGGAAGCUGCUCUCCCUUGGCUGAUCAAGAGCAAAACCAUGGAUUGCCCCUGGAGCUCCUUCUCCUGGAGUUCUAAGCUGGUUUGACAGGUCAUUCAUCUCUUCUUCCAGCUCCAUGUCCCACAGCUGUGCUGGGAUACCUGGAGCCACCUGGAAUUCUCUCCUUUCUUGCUGAGAUGUGAAGUGCAGACACGACUGAGCACAGCCAGGCUGCUGGCACGUAUUUUUAUUUUGUUUCUGAAAAAAAUCUGCAAGGAUUGCUGCUGAGAUAGAGUAUUUAUGUAUUUUAUGUAUUUUGAGUGUAUUCUGUAAGCACUGUAAUGCAGUAACUCUGGUAAAAGCAGGCAUUGAAAUGUGUUCACUGUGCUCUCCAAAAAUCAGGUGAUAUCCUGGAUUUAUUGUCUUUUAUUUCUAUUUACCUUCAGGAGCUGCCACUGUGCUGUUAAAACUUUGCAUCUCACAAAACAUUCCCAAGGGGAAGAAGCUGGGAGUUAAGUGACCAGCUUGCCUCUGAGUGUUGCUGAUUUGUUUAAUCCAUAUGCCAAAUCUUAGCUGAAAAUCAUUACUAUUGAUCUGUCCUUACAGAGCAUUUUGGGACAUUCAGGUCAAAUAUUUCAGCUAAGCACAAUUUUGUUCCCUGUCUCUUCCUUCGUUUGUCCUUUCCCAAUUAAUCAUUUUAAGGCUGGACUCUAUCCAAGGGAAGCCUUGGCUGGUAUCUCAUUGUUCUCUCUGCAUUUGUUGACUUCUUCACCUUGUUUGGUUUUGGUCUUGUUUGCUUUGAAAGGCAAAAGCUCUGUCUGGGAGAAGACUUUGCUGCAAAAAGGAAAAUUGCCCAUCACAGAUGGAUCUUCACCUCUGGAGAAAAGGGAUUUAUUUCAUCCUCCCUGCAGUGUGAGAGGUGAUACCUGAACAUUCCAGAGGACCUGGCUGAGACCUGUUUGUUCACCUGGGCUGGGCAGGAGCUUGGAACAGAACUGAAGCUCCUGGAUCUGCUCUCAGGACAUCUGAAACAGCCUGGCUGAAGUUUCAUGAAGGAUUUUGAUGCUUUCAAUUUUGAGUGGGGGCUACAUGUGAAAUAACAAAAAUUGCUUUUUGUUCCUUUGCAUCAGCACUGGCAAUCAGUUCUUGGUUAAAAGCUUUGAAUCCAGCAACAUAAAACAUGAAAUAUGGAACAUGAAACAUAAAACAUGAAACAUAAAACAUGAAACAUGAAAAGUAAAACAUGAAAUAUGGAACAUGAAACAUGAAAAGUAAAACAUGAAAUAUGAAACAUGAAAAAUAAAACAUAAAACAC